rnacentral:piRNA from 1 species
UUAGUGGUGUCUGCUUCACAC